rnacentral:rRNA from 1 species
GACGAACGCUGGCGGCGUGCUUAACACAUGCAAGUCGAACGGAAAGGCCCUGCUUUUGUGGGGUGCUCGAGUGGCGAACGGGUGAGUAACACGUGAGUAACCUGCCCUUGACUUUGGGAUAACUUCUGGAAACUGGGGCUAAUACCGGAUAGGAGCUCCUGCUGCACGGUGGGGGUUGGAAAGUUUCGGCGGUUGGGGAUGGACUCGCGGCUUAUCAGCUUGUUGGUGGGGUAGUGGCUUACCAAGGCUUUGACGGGUAGCCGGCCUGUGAGGGUGACCGGCGACAAUGGGACUGAGAUACGGCCCAGACUCCUACGGGAGGCAGCAGUGGGGAAUAUUGCGCAGUGGGCGGAAGCCUGAUGCAGAGACGCCGCGUGCGGGAUGACGGCCUUCGGGUGGUAAACCGCUUUCGCCUGUGACGAAGCGUGAGUGACGGUAAUGGGUAAAGAAGCACCGGCUAACUACGUG